ACCCGACUGCUAUCGGAUUGGGAUUUAGCCAUGUUAGUUGUGCGUUCCUUGGCUACAGGGGACGCAGCGUACGGCUCAGUAACACGUAGUCAACCUGCCCUGGAGACGUGGACAAACCCGGGAAACUGGGGCCUAUCCGCGAUAGAUGACCACAUCUGGAAGGAGUGGUCGUCCAAAGGGCGGCACGGGUAUGCUCCGUGCCUUUCGCUCCAGGAUGGGACUGCGGCCGAUCAGGCUGUUGGCGGGGUAAUGGCCCACCAAACCUGUAACCGGUACGGGCUUUGAGAGAAGGAGCCCGGAGAUGGACACUGAGACAAGGGUCCAGGCCCUACGGGGCGCAUCAGGCGCGAAAACUUCGCAAUGCGCGAAAGCGUGACGAGGCUAGUCCGAGUGCUUCCUGCUAAAGGGAGCUUUUCUCGGCUGUAAAUAGGCCGGGGAAUAAGGGGAGGGCAAGUCUGGUGUCAGCCGCCGCGGUAAUACCAGCUCCUCGAGUGGUCGGGACGAUUAUUGGGCCUAAAGCACCCGUAGCCUGUUCUGUAAGUCCUCUGUUAAAUCCAGUCGCUCAACGGCUGGCCCGCAGAGGAUACUGCAAGACUAGGAGGCGGGAGAGGCGGACGGUACUCCGCGUGUAGGGGUAAAAUCCUUUGAUCCGCGGAAGACCACCAGUGGCGAAGGCGGUCCGCCAGAACGCGCUCGACGGUGAGGGGUGAAAGCUGGGGGAGCGAACCGGAUUAGAUACCCGGGUAGUCCCAGCCGUAAACGAUGCGAGCUAGAUGAUUCGUUCGCAGUUCGCGAACGAAGUGUCGCAGGAAGCCGUUAAGCUCGCCGCCUGGGGAGUACGGUCGCAAGGCUGAAUCGUAGAG
rnacentral:rRNA from 1 species